rnacentral:rRNA from 1 species
UACAGAGGUGGCAAGCGUUGUUCGGAAUUACUGGGCGUAAAGGGCGCGUAGGCGGCUCGACAAGUCCCGCGUGAAAGCCCCCGGCUCAACUGGGGAACUGCGCGGGAAACUGUCGGACUUGAGUUCGGGAGAGGGAAGCGGAAUUCCGGGUGUAGCGGUGAAAUGCGUAGAGAUCGGGAGGAACACCAGUGGCGAAGGCGGCUACCUGGACCAGCACUGACACUGAGGCACGAAAGCGUGGGGAGCAAACAGG